GCUGGCGUAGCUCAGUUGGUAGAGCAGUUGAUUUGUAAUCAUCAGGUCGUAGGUUCAACUCCUAUCGCCAGCU
rnacentral:tRNA from 1 species